UUUUCCGUUCACUUUAGGCAAAGCAGUUAACAAGCAAGUGUUGAAUUUCUGUGUGCAGCAAGAAGCACAGGUUCAGUGGAGUUAAGAUGGAUUAAAUCAGUUACUGAGCUCUGAAAGCAUAUGUGGUGGGGUCAGGCAGGUAGGAUAUGAUUUAACAAAAGGAAAAUUAUAUAAUGAUCAAUGUAAUAGGAAUGUAAAGCAGGGAAUGACCCAUAUGGAAUACAAUAGCUGAGACAAGCUUUGUGGAAGAAGAAAGGUCAUGUGUGACACAUGGAUCAGAGAAUCUGAAAAGACAGAGGAGAAGGGCUUCUCAGGCAGAGGAAGAAAAAGAGGACCAGGCACUGUGCAUACUGCUGGAGAUCAACAGUAAGCAAGAGAUCACCAACCCAUCUCCAGGAGCUUGCAGUCUCUCCAAGGAGAUCCCGGGGCUUACAGAAGAUGCCGUCUCCCUGUCCCCUCUAGGGCACCUGCCUUACGCACCGACUUCUGCCGGUCCUCUCUGGCAUAUGAUCUUGCACUUGUGUUGAAGAAACAUUUUUCAAUUACAAGGAGAGUUCCUGGAUGCCAGAAACUCUAAGAGAGAUUUCUGCAAGAUUUCCUUAAUGCAAGGUACCCAUAACAACCUUUAUAUACUUGCUGUAUGAAGCCACACUGCUGUAGAAUCUAAUGGCAAUUGUUUAACAGUAAAUUACAAUGUGUUGCCUAAAGAACAUCACAUAGCUUGUGACUCUGGAUGUCCAGGAAAUUUUCUACAGAGGUACUUUUUUUUUUAAACUACUCAGACCACAGUUUUACAGUGGACAACAUCAUGAUAACUUCAGUUAAUAACACUCUAACACUAUGAAAGACGAUUCAGCCACUGAAGAGUAAACCUUAAGUACUGUAGUCCAGUAGAUUAAAAUUCAGUCCUUCGAAAUACAAAAACAAA